GCCUCCAGAUGCCUCGGAGUAAAAGCAGGGUCUGUAGGGGAAAAGAGUACAAGGUGUGUGUGUGUGGGGGGAGUUGGGGGUGAGAGGUGUGGAUGUGGGAAGGCCCCCUCCUCCGCAGCCUUCAUCUUAGUCCAUCCCUAGUCCUGCUGUGGAGUUUUGUUCUUUGCUGGAAAGGUUUGUUCUUUUCUCAUGUAUUUCCUGGAUAUAUAUCCUGGGUUGGACACAGGGCAUAAAAGGAUCUUGCCCUCAAGGGAAUACAGUCUAGGGAAGGAAGCUAGCGGAUUGCCAGGUCGUCCAGUCUGCCAAGAAUGAAGAGUGAAAUGGUAAAUAUCGGGGCCCUGUGUAAGUCACAAGAGAGGUGCCUCCUUCUGAAUUCCAGGCUUGGGGGAAGAUAGAAUAUGUCUCUGGGGGUGUUCCUAAAGGAUGAACAAUCCAUCAGAGAAGAGUGGGAUCGAAGGAUCCAGGUUCUCCAGGUGGGGAGAAGGACAGGGAUGGAAAGGAGAGAGCGGGUUUAUUUGUUGGGAGUCUGCAGUGUCAGGAGAUUUUCACAGAGAUGGGCAGGGGAGUGAGGGUUGGCUUGUCUUGGAUCCGGAGUAGAAAGAAGGGGGAAAGCUGCCCCAGGCUAGGCCUGGGCAAUAGGACAAAUGUGAUUGUCACGUGACACUAAAUUGAGCAUCC
rnacentral:lncRNA from 1 species